rnacentral:lncRNA from 12 species
UAAGGACUCAAUGAAUCUUACAGAUACCAUAAUGUAUUUCUGCCUUGUCAUAUGGUCCUUACAUACUUCACACACAUGUUCUGGGAGGAAUGAGCUGCUGUUAUCCCUGUCUGAAAUAUGAGGAGUUGAAGCACAGAGAAGGAAAAUUACUCUAAGAUCCCACACAAACCUCAGGUGAGUUUGGGAUAGAAGAGGAGUCUGUUGGGAAUUUGCUUUGAUUCUGGCUUUGGAUACUUGAGCCCAGAUCCUUUAUUACCACAA